rnacentral:rRNA from 1 species
UACGUAGGUGACAAGCGUUAUCCGGAUUUAUUGGGCGUAAAGCGCACGCAGGCGGCCAUUCAAGUCUGACGUGAAAUCCCCCGGCUUAACCUGGGAACUGCGUCUGAUACUGGAAGGCUUGAGUAUGGGAGAGGGAUGUAGAAUUCCAGGUGUAGCGGUGAAAUGCGUAGAUAUCUGGAGGAAUACCGGUGGCGAAGGCGGCAUCCUGGACCAUUACUGACGCUGAGGCGCGAAAGCUAGGGGAGCAAACGGG